CCCAGAACCCCUCUAAUUCUCAUCUCUCUAACCCAAAUCCUAGAGACCAGCCACCCUAAAAUUCUUCGACGCCUCCGCCAUUAACCACUCGUCGAUAAUCGCCUCACGAUGGCUUCGUACUCCAAACCUUAAAAAUUUACACCAUGUGAUCUCCUCUCUCUCCCCUUUCUCCACAAACUGUUUCCCUCAAGCCCAUACCAAAUUACUCGAAUUUUAGAUAGAAAAUCAGAACCUAAAUCCUAAUUCAUCCAAAUCAACCCAAAUUCACCAUGUACACUCCCCAGCCUCCCCUCUAUACCAAUCUACUAACCUGUCCCCCAAAAGACCCACCCAAUUUCGUUAAUUCCAUAUUUGGAAGUUCGGAUAGUUUACCCACUUUGAUGAGUUUUCUUCUAAUUUCUCGAGUUUCAAGUCACGAGUUGAGCCUAAAAUUAGCAAGAACGAUUGCUUAAUGUAAUUAUGGACCCACUUCAAAGCAUGAUCGGAGUCCUGCCAGCCCCAUAUGAACCUAGGUCCAAGUUGUCUUCCAAUUUUUUGCUUCUGGUAAGGUUCCUCCAAUGUCUUCUCCAUUAUUUUCUUUUCUUCGAGUCAGUAACUUUCUUCCUGCAUGUUCGAUUAGUUUAUGUCAUUAUGCUUAAUCAGAUUUAGCUCAUGAUUAUUUAGUUAAUCAUUAGUUCAUGGUUACAGAAUCUGGUUAUCAUGUUUGUUUUAGAUCAUUUAUGGUAUUUUUUGUCAUGUUUUCUUAUUAGUCUUCUUUGUUCUCUCCUUCAGUUUUCGUUUUUCUUAGUUUUCAUGAUUUAGGGUUUCUCAAUGCUCCAACUUUAUGUGUUUUUUUUUCAUUUUCAUCUUGUUUGUGUUGUAUAAAUUAGCAUGUUUUAGUAAUUUCAUUGCAUGAAAUUCCUACUAAUUCCAUCUUAAUUCGAUUCAUGUAGGGAUUAGUUUAUUCUUGGUUUUCUGUUGUAAGAUUCAAUUGUAUUUUUUUCCUUUGAUUAUUGUUUUGAUCAUUAUUUUGGUAAUUGCUGGCCUAGUCUAUAUUUGUUUGACUUGUGCAUUAGUAUAAACUUCUUGGGGUUAAUUGAAUCAAUAAAAACUUAAGGGGUUAAUUUGGGAAAUAGAAAUAGGAUUUUCAAAUAAGGUUAAUAUUAGAAGCUUCUAAAGUUUGUGCUUGCUGGCCCUUUUCGCCCGCACAAAAAUACUAAAAGUAAUUAGAGGUCGACAAAUGACCCAAUUUUGUUGGAAAGAUGCCUUUAGGGGGGUGUGUGAGAGAAAAAUAUUCCCUAAUUCUAUUUCAGCACAUGGAAUUGGGUUGCAAUAAGUAGAACCUCUCCUUCACUCCUUAGGCAGAGAUUUCAGACCCUAAGAAAAUACCCUAAAAAGUUCUGCAUUGUUUAAAUAGCUAAAUUUUCUGAUUUUCACAAGAAAAACUAGAAGAUGUUUUUUGAAAUUUUUGGAUUCUAAAAGGCUGACUCAUGGUUUAAUUGUGGAAACUGUGUUGUCGCUUCUGGAUUUUUGUUUGCUUUCAUUUCUGCUGACUUCAGUGUUCUUUUCUUCUAUUUUCUGUAUUCAGGUAUCCCCAUGAGCUUUGAAAUACAAAAAUAAAGAACAAUAUGUUUGGCUUGAAGUUGAAAAUUCCAGAUUUUCUUUGGUUUAUAGUCUUCUUUGUUUCUUUCUUUUGUUUGCGGAUUUCUUUCCAUCUUUUUAAAUUUUCCUAGAAAUGAUGUUUUAGUAUAUAACUCAGUCACAAUGUUAAGCUUGAAAGUUAGAAUUGAUUUAGUGUUUCAUGUAUGGCUGAAUAAUUUUGCUAUGAUUAGAGUUGUAAUAUUUAGGGACACUGUGUGAACUGUUAAUGGUAUGUUGUCUAUAUGUACUUGAAUGGGUAAAUACCCUCAGCUAAGUCAUUUUAAGUUUAAUUUUAUUUAGGGCUAGGUUAAUACAUGAUGAGUUCAUAUUAGUAUCUAAUAUGUGUUGAAUCAUGUUAUGUUUGAGUUAGAGUAAUUAAAAUAUGUAAGCUGAUAUAGUGGAUAAACAUUUUAAAAAACCAUGUUCCUACUGUCAUUGUUAAAAGCAAGUCAUUAAGGUUAAUUUUGUAAUAUGAGUAGCUAUGCAUUUUGGUGCUUAAGAUUACUCUGUUAUAUUGCCAUGAGUUAAUUAGAGAGGCUAAACUUCAUAAGGCCUUAAUGUUGAAGAUCUUCUUUCGUUAGAGGCUACUGGGCCUAACCUUGGCCCAUGUAAGGCAACCCGCGACCAGAUUUGAUAUUCUUUUGCUUUGGACUAAAUUUGGAGCCUAAUAGUCUUCAGUCUUAGUUUUUUUUGUUUUUUAAAGUUUUAUGUUAAUUUAAUAAGAAAAAGAUUUUAAUGUGGAGUUUUGUCAGACUAUUGGGCCAGAGAUCAGCCCAAAACGAGGCAACCUUGAUCGCAUUUAGACCUGAUGAGGUCUUUGAAGAUCCGUGCCUUUUUAGGCUCAACUUCAAGCCCGUGCUGCUGCAACAUCCUAUAUUCUUGAUCAUAUGCUAAAUUGGCCUAUUGUGGUCCAC
rnacentral:lncRNA from 1 species